rnacentral:rRNA from 1 species
GACGAACGCUGGCGGCGUGCCUAAUACAUGCAAGCCGAACGAACUCUGGUAUUGAUUGGUGCUUGCAUCAUGAUUUACAUUUGAGUGAGUGGCGAACUGGUGAGUAACACGUGGGAAACCUGCCCAGAAGCGGGGGAUAACACCUGGAAACAGAUGCUAAUACCGCAUAACAACUUGGACCGCAUGGUCCGAGUUUGAAAGAUGGCUUCGGCUAUCACUUUUGGAUGGUCCCGCGGCGUAUUAGCUAGAUGGUGGGGUAACGGCUCACCAUGGCAAUGAUACGUAGCCGACCUGAGAGGGUAAUCGGCCACAUUGGGACUGAGACACGGCCCAAACUCCUACGGGAGGCAGCAGUAGGGAAUCUUCCACAAUGGACGAAAGUCUGAUGGAGCAACGCCGCGUGAGUGAAGAAGGGUUUCGGCUCGUAAAACUCUGUUGUUAAAGAAGAACAUAUCUGAGAGUAACUGUUCAGGUAUUGACGGUAUUUAACCAGAAAGCCACGGCUAACUACGUGCCAGCAGCCGCGGUAAUACGUAGGUGGCAAGCGUUGUCCGGAUUUAUUGGGCGUAAAGCGAGCGCAGGCGGUUUUUUAAGUCUGAUGUGAAAGCCUUCGGCUCAACCGAAGAAGUGCAUCGGAAACUGGGAAACUUGAGUGCAGAAGAGGACAGUGGAACUCCAUGUGUAGCGGUGAAAUGCGUAGAUAUAUGGAAAGAACACCAGUGGCGAAGGCGGCUGUCUGGUCUGUAACUGACGCUGAGGCUCGAAAGUAUGGGUAGCAAACAGGAUUAGAUACCCUGGUAGUCCAUACCGUAAACGAUGAAUGCUAAGUGUUGGAGGGUUUCCGCCCUUCAGUGCUGCAGCUAACGCAUUAAGCAUUCCGCCUGGGGAGUACGGCCGCAAGGCUGAAACUCAAAGGAAUUGACGGGGGCCCGCACAAGCGGUGGAGCAUGUGGUUUAAUUCGAAGCUACGCGAAGAACCUUACCAGGUCUUGACAUACUAUGCAAAUCUAAGAGAUUAGACGUUCCCUUCGGGGACAUGGAUACAGGUGGUGCAUGGUUGUCGUCAGCUCGUGUCGUGAGAUGUUGGGUUAAGUCCCGCAACGAGCGCAACCCUUAUUAUCAGUUGCCAGCAUUAAGUUGGGCACUCUGGUGAGACUGCCGGUGACAAACCGGAGGAAGGUGGGGAUGACGUCAAAUCAUCAUGCCCCUUAUGACCUGGGCUACACACGUGCUACAAUGGAUGGUACAACGAGUUGCGAACUCGCGAGAGUAAGCUAAUCUCUUAAAGCCAUUCUCAGUUCGGAUUGUAGGCUGCAACUCGCCUACAUGGAGUCGGAAUCGCUAGUAAUCGCGGAUCAGCAUGCCGCGGUGAAUACGUUCCCGGGCCUUGUACACACCGCCCGUCACACCAUGAGAGUUUGUAACACCCAAAGUCGGUGGGGUAACCUUUUAGGAACCAGCCGCCUAAGGUGGGACAGAUGAUUAGGGUG